AAUAGGCUAAUUAAGAGCGUAAGGGGAAUGCCUUGGCUCUCAGAGGCGAUGAAGGACGUGAUAAGCUGCGAUAAGCUGUGGGGAGUGGCACAAACACUUUGAUCCGCAGAUCUCCGAAUGGGGCAACCCGGCAUAUUGAAGAUAUGUCACACUGUAAAGUGAGCAAACCUGGUGAACUGAAACAUCUAAGUAACCAGAGGAAUAGAAAACAAAAGUGAUUCCGCUAGUAGUGGCGAGCGAACGUGGAACAGCCCAAACCUAUGUUGUUACGGCAAUAUAGGGGUUGUAGGACCUCAACAUUUAAUGCUAAUAGAACUAGAAUUUACUGGAAAGUAAAACCAUA
rnacentral:rRNA from 1 species